rnacentral:rRNA from 1 species
GGGUGAGUAACGCGUGAGAAUCUAGCUCUAGGUCGGGGACAACCACUGGAAACGGUGGCUAAUACCGGAUGUGCCSAGAGGUAAAAGGCUUGCUGCCUARAGAUGARCUCSCGUCUGAUUAGCUAGUARGUGUGGUAAGARCGCACCUAGGCGACGAUCAGUAGCUGGUCUGARAGGAUGAUCAGCCACACUGGGACUGARACACGGCCCAGACUCCUACGGGAGGCAGCAGUGGGGAAUUUUCCGCAAUGGGCGAAAGCCUGACGGARCAAUACCGCGUGAGGGAGGAAGGCUCUUGGGUUGUAAACCUCUUUUCUCAGGGAAUAAAAAAAUGAARGUACCUGAGGAAUAAGCAUCGGCUAACUCCGUGCCMGCAGCCSCGGUAAUACGGARGAUGCAAGCGUUAUCCSGAAUGAUUGGGCGUAAAGGGUCCSCAGGUGGCCCUGUA